CGCGCUCACUUCCGCACGCGUGGCUCCCGCCCUCGCGCGGCCGCGGAGUUCGGCUUUGCGGUGUUGCCCGGCACGGCGCGCGGAGGGGCCCCGGGCCGAGGCGGCCGGGGGAGAACGCAAGCCUGGCGGUCGGCCGCGGCGGUGCAGGGAGUCUGAAACAAAGACGCUCGACCGGUACUUGGGAUGGAGACCAGCCCUGUUCUGUGUUUCGAGACACAGUCUCAAGGUUUCCAGCCGGCUUCAACCCGGCUCCUGCUUGCUUCCCGCGUGACUGCGUCCUGCCUGCUGUGGGGACCCAGGAUACGCUGGGCGCAGCCCUCGCCUGCGGAGCAGCCAGGGGUUGGGAGCCGCUGAGGCUGGAAAGUGACUACACGUGCAGCACGAAGCCAGCCCGAGAAUACGCGAGCUCCCUGAAGCGCGUGAACAAGCGCUGUACCGUGCUAACCGGCUGCUGGGCAGCGAGGCAGAAACUAACCCAGCUCUCGAGGGUAUAAAUAGGCCUCCCUCCUGUUGCAGUCAGUCCUCCUGCUCAUCAGGCAAGAGGUAACGCCGCCUGACCCCGGCUACCGUCGCUUUAUUUUGUAAAUCCUCUUGCUGUUUCCUGCCGGGGACCGCCGAGAGACCGCCGAGUCCCACAGCCAGGCGGCCUCAGCUUUGGGCAAGGACCACAGCAAGGCACUGCAAUGUGGUUUUUAUUUCUCCAGGGAUUUAUUAAGGCACUGAGUAGUGCGAUAUUUAGUCAACUGAAAUGAACACAAGGAGACAGACCAGGACCUGAGCGUUGCACUUUGAGAGUUAAUGGUGAGGAGGAGCCAAAGCACGUGUACGGUAGCGGCAGUGUGCGCACCCAGCCGCGGCAGAGGCGUCUUCUGUCCGCUUCUCAGUGAGGCUCAGGCUCAGGGGCUCCCGUGAACACCUGAAGUUCCACUCUUUGGAGCCCAACAAGCACAAGCCCCGGCCUGGUGCCAAGUGGGAGCAGCGGUACCUGGGCCA